rnacentral:rRNA from 1 species
GUUGAACGCUGGCGGCAGGCUUAACACAUGCAAGUCGAGCGGAGAUGAGGUGCUUGCACCUUAUCUUAGCGGCGGACGGGUGAGUAAUGCUUAGGAAUCUGCCUAUUAGUGGGGGACAACAUUCCGAAAGGAAUGCUAAUACCGCAUACGUCCUACGGGAGAAAGCAGGGGAUCUUCGGACCUUGCGCUAAUAGAUGAGCCUAAGUCGGAUUAGCUAGUUGGUGGGGUAAAGGCCUCCCAAGGCGACGAUCUGUAGCGGGUCUGAGAGGAUGAUCCGCCAAAAUGGGACGGAGACACGGCCCAGACUCCUACGGGAGGCGGCAGUGGGGAAUAUUGGACAAUGGGGGGAACCCCGAUCCAGCCAUGCCGCGUGUGUGAAGAAGGCCUUAUGGUUGUAAAGCACUUUAAGCGAGGAGGAGGCUACUGAGACUAAUACUCUUGGAUAGUGGGCGUUACUCGCAGAAUAAGCACCGGCUAACUCUGUGCCAGCCGCCGCCGUAACAC